rnacentral:rRNA from 1 species
UUCCGGUUGAUCCUGCCGGAGGCGACCGCUUUGGGAGUUCGAUUAAGCCAUGCGAGUCGUGAGUCUUAGGGACUCGGCAUACUGCUCAGUAACACGUGGAUAACCUGCCCUAUCGUCUGGAAUAACCUCGGGAAACUGAGAAUAAGGCCGGAUAGUUCACAAUGCCUGGAACGGUUUGUGAAUCAAGGUAGGAUGGGUCUGCGGCGUAUCAGGUUGUAGGGGGUGUAAAGGACCCCCUAGCCUUCGACGCGUACGGGUGUUGGGAGACAUAGCCCGGAGAUGGAUUCUGAGACACGAAUCCAGACCCUACGGGGUGCAGCAGGCGCGAAAACUUCACACUGCAGGAAACUGUGAUGAGGGAACUCCUAGUGCAUGCACUAUGUGUAUGUAGAUCCUACUCUUAACAAGUAGAGGGAAAGGGCUGGGAAAGACCGGUGCCAGCCGCCGCGGUAAUACCGGCAGCUCAAGUGGUCGUCGCUUUUAUUGGGCCUAAAACGUCCGUAGCCUGUUUGGUAAAUCUGUGGGUAAAUCAAUCCGCUCAACGGAUUGAAUUCUGCAGAGACUGCCAGACUAGGGACCGGGAGAGGUGUGGGGUACUCGAGGGGUAGGGGUAAAAUCCUGUCAUCYCUCGAGGACCACCAGUUGCGAAGGCGCCACACUGGAACGGAUCCGACGGUCAGGGACGAAGCCUAGGGGCACGAACCGGAUUAGAUACCCGGGUAGUCCUAGGUGUAAACGCUGUGAACUUGGUGUCGGGGGUCCGCAAGGGGUCCCCGGUGCCGGAGUGAAGAUGUUAAGUUCACUGCCUGGGGAGUACGGUCGCAAGGCUGAAACUUAAAGGAAUUGGCGGGGCAGCAC